rnacentral:lncRNA from 10 species
GGAAUGUCUGUCUUACGUGGUUGAGAUAAGGACUGAGAUACGCCCUGAUCUCCUGCAGUACCCUCAGGCUUACUACGGUGGGGAAAAACUCCACCCUGGUGAAUUUGUGGUCAGACGUUUCCCUAUUUUUUGUUCAAGAUGUUUAUCAAGAUAAUACGUGCACCGCUGAACAUGGACCCUUAUCAGUAGUUCUGUGUUGCCUUUUCUCCUGUUCCCUCAGAAGCAAGUGAUCUUUGUUCUGUUUUUUGCCCUUUGAAGCAUGAGCUCUACUCCAUGUUCUCACACCCCCUCCCCUCUUGAAACCCUUAAUAAAAAACUUGCUGGUUUAAGGCUCAGGGGGCAGCACGAUCCUACCGACAUGCGACGUCACCCCCCGGCGGCCCAGCUGUAAAAUUCCUCUCUUUGUACUCUUCCUCUUUAUUUCUCAGCCAGCCGACACUUAUGGAAAAUAGAAAGAAUUUAUAUUGAAAUAUGGGGGGAAUG